rnacentral:rRNA from 1 species
AUGCAAGUCGAGCGAAUGAUUAGAGAAGCUUGCUUCUCUCUGAUUAGCGGCGGACGGGUGAGUAACACGUGGGUAACCUACCCUGUAGACUGGGGAUAACUUCGGGAAACCGGAGCUAAUACCGGAUAAUACUUCGAAACACAUGUUUUGAAGUUGAAAGAUGGUUUCGGCUAUCACUAUAGGAUGGACCCGCGGCGCAUUAGCUAGUUGGUGGGGUAAUGGCUCACCAAGGCAACGAUGCGUAGCCGACCUGAGAGGGUGAUCGGCCACACUGGGACUGAGACACGGCCCAGACUCCUACGGGAGGCAGCAGUAGGGAAUCUUCCACAAUGGACGAAAGUCUGAUGGAGCAACGCCGCGUGAAGUGAAGAAGGAUUUCGGUUCGUAAAACUCUGUUGCAAGGGAAGAACAAGUAGCGUAGUAACUGGCGCUACCUUGGCGGUACCUUGUUAGAAAGCCACGGCUAACUACGUGCCAGCAGCUGC